GACGAACGCUGGCGGCGUGCUUAACACAUGCAAGUCGAACGGAAAGGCCCUGCUUUUGUGGGGUGCUCGAGUGGCGAACGGGUGAGUAACACGUGAGUAACCUGCCCUUGACUUUGAGAUAACUUCAGGAAACUGGGGCUAAUACCGGAUAGGAGCUCCUGCUGCAUGGUGGGGGUUGGAAAGUUUCGGCGGUUGGGGAUGGACUCGCGGCUUAUCAGCUUGUUGGUGGGGUAGUGGCUUGCCAAGGCUUUGACGGGUAGCCGGCCUGAGAGGGUGACCGGCCACAUUGGGACUGAGAUACGGCCCAGACUCCUACGGGAGGCAGCAGUGGGGAAUAUUGCACAAUGGGCGGAAGCCUGAUGCAGCAACGCCGCGUGCGGGAUGACGGCCUUCGGGUUGUAAACCGCUUUCGCCUGUGACGAAGCGUGAGUGACGGUAAUGGGUAAAGAAGCACCGGCUAACUACGUG
rnacentral:rRNA from 1 species